rnacentral:lncRNA from 1 species
UAUACUAUAUCGAUCCAAAAAAGAAGCACUAUAUCCAAAAAAGAACACAUCAGUACUAAGAGUUAACACUAACAAGUAACUAACGUUUACAUCUCCUCUCCUCCAUUCCCAUCAUCAAGAUACAAAUCAGCUUCCAAAUCCGGUUCAUCCAAAGACAACUCUGCUAACUCAAUUCCAACACCAUCAAGCGGUUCAUGCACAUCUCCACUAAUGUCCCACAUUCUUGAUUGUCCUUUCUUAUAUCCAUCUUCUUUCCUUGACAAGAGUUGAAGAUUAGUAUGCACAUAAACCAAAUCUUCUACCCUUUUUGGAUCCAUUUUGUUUAUUUUCAAAGAAUGGAUAAAAGAAAAAGUACUCCAAUUUCUCUCACAACAUGAGGAAGAACAAGGUUGCACAAGAAGCUUUAAACCCUAAUUUCUCGACGGUGGCCAAAGUGGAC